rnacentral:rRNA from 1 species
ACGGGAGGCAGCAGUGGGGAAUAUUGGACAAUGGGGGAAAUCCUGAUCCAGCGACGCCGCGUGAGUGAAGAAGUAUUUCGGUAUGUAAAGCUCUAUCAGCAGGGAAGAAAAUGACGGUACUUGACUAAGAAGCUCCGGCUACAUACGUGCCAGCAGCCGCGGUAAUACGUAUGGGGCAAGCGUUAUCCGGAUUUACUGGGUGUAAAGGGAGCGUAGACGGCUUUGCAAGUCUGAAGUGAAAGCCCGGGGCUCAACCCCGGAACUGCUUUGGAAACUGUAGAGCUAGAGUACAGGAGAGGUAAGUGGAAUUCCUAGUGUAGCGGUGAAAUGCGUAGAUAUUAGGAGGAACACCAGUGGCGAAGGCGGCUUACUGGACUGUAACUGACGUUGAGGCGCAAAAGCGUGGGGAGCAAACAGGAUUAGAUACCCUGGUA